GCUACCGAGCUUUGGAGCGGCCCCGGUGCCAUGGAGCAACACAAGGCUGAAAGCUAGAAGCGUCUGGAUGAAGCUGCUCCCUGGCGAAUGAGCCAACAACACUUAUGGAAGGCCCGGUUCAUUUUGAAGAACACCUGGAAUAAAAGCUCCCUCGGCACCAGAUAUGGACGCAGGAUGCUGCCUCGGCUGGUUCAGCUGAAGGCUACAUGGACAGUUUACUCUGCUCACCACCUCGUGGAGGGAUUGAAGAAAAGGUGAAAUGUUGGGAAACUUUGCUGCAAACACACAACAGACUCACAACCACUUCACGGGAUUUUUGUAUCUUAGUCCUGGCAUUAUGCAGAACUGGCCUCAAUAGGAGUAGCUUAAUUCAGGGAUGGCGUUCACACAUGCGUGGAAAUCUUCCUCUUCAUAGGAAGAGGGGUUCA